rnacentral:lncRNA from 1 species
CCUAACCCCUGACCCUAGCCCUAACCCUGAGCCUAAACCUAACCCCUGACCCUAAACCUAACCCCUGAGCCUAAACCUAACCCCUGACCCUAACCCUAACCCUGAGCCUAACCCUAACCCUGACCCUAACCUAACCCUGAGCCUAACCCUAACUCUCUCAUCUGGGGGGAUGGUAAGUAACAGGCUAAACCAAGACUAACCCAGGUCCUUGGCGUCAUAUUUCAGAAAAGAGGGCCUGACCAUCGCAGAGCUCAGAGAACUCUACAACACUCCAGUGAUGAAAGCUGAGCGCUUCGUUCGUCGUAAAGAAAGCUGGCCAUCAUGGAUGCCCACCGUGCCCUAUGUCGGCACCCACAGCGGAGUCAGGGUGACUCUGCCAGAUGACCGCCAGUUCUUGAUCCACAAAGGCAAUGACUUCGGCAGCGCCUCGGAGACCGUGGUCACAGAUGCCAAGUACAUGUCCAGCACAUGGAAGAAGAAGGGCGGUGACACCCUGUGCUUCAGUGGAGCUGUGACGGUCGGGGACAUGGUGAGAGCCGGGGGAGAGAAGUACAGUCUGUGGAAACUGCAGUACUGCCACAGGGCCACUAAUGCCAUGAUGGACCUGUGCUAGAUCCCCCCCCCCCCCAUGGCUGUGCAGUCGACACAUCCAGCUGGCAAUACAGCGAUUCAAUAAAACAUCGCUCUGGUCUGAUGUUCCUUUGUUUGUGUGAUGAAGAUGAUUAGAGACACAGUUUCUUCAUGAAGAGACACAGAGACAUGACUUUAAUUAUGUAACAGUUUUCAAGACUAUCACCGUCACACAGUCGUCUUUAGCCUUUAGUGAAUGAAGUCAGCAUCAAUACUAAUGAUUAAAGCCCCUAUAGUAGAGCGGCGCUUAAGUUUGUGUGUGUUUCUGCUACUGUCACUAAGAGAUAAAUGCUUUGUGACCAUAUCUGUGAAAGACGCUAUAUAAAUAAAGAUCUUCUUCUUCUUCUUCCUCUUCUUCUUCUUUGAAAGACACAAAUAACUAGAAUUAAACAUAUCCCAGAGUGUACCGGCCUGUAAAAGCAAACAAAACAAAAAAACAAAUGCCACAUGAUCUGACUCUGUUCAGCUUUGGGGCUUUUGGACUGACUGAGAUGAGCCCUGAAUUUGGAAAAGAACACUUGAAUAAAGGCAGUCAGAAAGGAAAAUUGCAACUCAUGCGUGGAAAUAUUUUCAAAUUGGGCGGAAAAAACAUUCUCAG